rnacentral:rRNA from 1 species
UGUGACUCGUCACACUAUCAUUAACUGAAUCCAUAGGUUAAUGAGGCGAACCGGGGGAACUGAAACAUCUAAGUACCCCGAGGAAAAGAAAUCAACCGAGAUUCCCCCAGUAGCGGCGAGCGAACGGGGAGGAGCCCAGAGCCUGAAUCAGCAUGUGUGUUAGUGGAAGCGUCUGGAAAGGCGCGCGAUACAGGGUGACAGCCCCGUACACAAAAGCGCAUGUGCUGUGAGCUCGAUGAGUAGGGCGGGACACGUGGUAUCCUGUCUGAAUAUGGGGGGACCAUCCUCCAAGGCUAAAUACUCCUGACUGACCGAUAGUGAACCAGUACCGUGAGGGAAAGGCGAAAAGAACCCCGGCGAGGGGAGUGAAAAAGAACCUGAAACCGUGUACGUACAAGCAGUGGGAGCACCCUUUG